AACUUUCAACAACGGAUCUCUUGGUUCUGGCAUCGAUGAAGAACGCAGCGAAAUGCGAUAAGUAGUGUGAAUUGCAGAAUUCAGUGAACCAUCGAAUCUUUGAACGCACAUUGCGCCCUUUGGUAUUCCAAAGGGCAUGCCUGUUCGAGCGUCAUUU
rnacentral:rRNA from 1 species